AAUUUCUUAAGGUGGCUGAGAGUAAACAGAGAAGAGAAGGAUGUUUCCUGAAUCCACAUCAGCCGCAACUAAACCCCUAUUACUCUGCUUUACAGAAAGAGGCCUUCCCUCCUGUGGAAAAUUUAAAGGGGUACUUUUGAGCCUGAUGCAGCAAACAUGCUUGACCUGACUGCUAGUGACACCUCCCUGUGCGUUUCUGCAGUCCCUAAGAAAGGCAACAGUGUGCUCAGGUGUUACCAACAGGUGACUGAACUUGUGAGGCACAAAGGCAAAGAUGACUCAGAAGUUUUGUCCAAGUGGAGAAGGGAGCAGGAACCUACAGGUACCACUGCUUCCACACAAACACCUCCCAGCCAAAACCAUCUGUGGACCUGCUCUGUGUCCCUGGCUCCUGAAGUUCUUCUCGGCCUAGAUGGCCCUUGACAAUUUCUGGGAGAAGGAAUGAGAGAAUUUUGGAUGCCUCUGAAUUUUAUGAAUCAGCCUGGCAAGUUACUGGGAAAAGCAUUCUCCUUCAGAUUGAAUUAGAGUUGACCAUAGCAACAGGAUAUCUCAAAAUGUGUUUGUCAAUUAAGAAAGGAGCAAAACACUUCAGAUUAACCUGGAUGAUUUGUUUUAAUUGAAAAAUUAUUCAUUUUAUAUUUGGAUUUGUAAAACCUUUGAUCCACUUGCCCUUCUUUAAGAAGUAUAAAAGAGAGUAUAAAAACAAUGCCUUUCUAGGAAAGGAAAUUUUCCUGCAGAAAAGUGUCCCAAGUUUAAUUUUAUAGAUUAAAAUAUUUGAACUGUAAAAAAAUUGAUCCAACCUUAAAAGCACGUUUGGUCUUCUCAGCAUUUCUCAGUGUAAAUAGAAAAGAAAUUAAAUAGUAUUUCUAUCUCUAUAUCCUCUGGAUUACUUAAGAGCUCAAGAGGUAAUGAGAACAUUCUUCUGGCUGUGUUUUAGGGUCUAACCUGCAGCAAACUUUUGCUGAGCUGCCAGUGGUCUUGUCUCAACAACGUUCCGUUUGAGUGAACUUAUUCCAGGUGUACACCACCACACUUUGAAGAGCAUAAGGCCUUAAAAUCAAUGUCUGCUUUGUGUUCCUGUGACAAUGGUUUACGGUUGCCAAAACCACAGUCCUUUUCCACAAUAUAAGUAAAAAUUGGACAUGCAGGAUUAAGAUUAGAUCCCAUUCCCUUUCCCUUUGGCUCUUGUAAAGAGCAGGCGUUUGGAAGAAAAAGGAGGAAUCAGGAGUCUAGGAAUCAGGAAAAGAGAUAACAUGUCCUUAGUGGGGGAAGAAAUACAAAACCUGGAUUUCCAGUGUGAUAGCAAGCAGCCUUCUGAGUCAACAGUGUCAAAAAUCCCUGUGUUUCACAAAGGGAAAAGGGCAUUUGCCAGAAAGUCUGUCCAGAACAUCAUGUUUUCCUGUGAAUCUGUGCCCCACAAGUUCAAACCCAUCUGUGAUCUUCUGUCCAGACACACUGACCAGGUGCUCUGCUGGUGAGGGUCAGAGGAGCUUCCCAAUCAUCAGAUCCUCAUUUCUACAUGCUGGUGAGGCCAGAGCUGUGCUUCCUUGGGAGGCGGUGACACGGGGGUGACACGGAUUUCACCGCGGGAUUAACGCAGCAGUCAGGUGCACGAAUAACCAGCGGCUCAGCACACCCUGCUCAGCACACACAGGCGUAAACAGACCUACCAAGGGGUUCCAGUCAGCAGGACUGCCUUGUCAAGGGGGAAUAAACCCACUGCUAACAACAGGUUUACUCGUGGCACUGCGUUGUACAAGCUGCAGGAAAUUGCUGACGUUAUGCAACGAGUCUCGUCAGAGCCAUGAAACCGACUGUGCUCUGUGUCAAUUUGCCUUUAUCCCUGCUCAUCAAAGGCAGAAUGAGCUGUCAUUAUUUCCAGCGUAGGACAGAGGUGAGAAAAGUGCCUUGGACAGAACUAACAAACAGGAAAAUGAAGCUUCCCUUGUUCUUUUUUGGUUUGGUUUGGUUUGGUUUUUUGUUAGAUAGUCAUGCCACAAAGCACUGCGUAAGAUUUGUGUUUUCCAGCCAAUAACAUCUUAAACCACAAAACCUACUGCUUUUGUGGAAAACACAAGUUAGGGCACUAAAGGAUUUUUUGACCUGUUCUUUAUAAUAAAACAUGUUAAUCAGCAGUGUCAACAAAUCAAACAGAUUGAUGCUUUCUGCUGUUUUUAAUCUUUAGGGUUUUUAAAGUCACCGUGCCAUCAAUUUUCCUAUCCUUUUAUAAUUAAAAAAUAAAGUGAUUAGAAAUAUAAGGUAUUCACUUAGAAUAUAUUCACUCUUUUUUUUUUCUUUUUUUCAAGAGAAUCAUUUCCUGUUGGCAGGACGGUUUGAAGCUCUGAGUUGCAGAAUAUUAAAACAAAUGGGGCCUUCCCUGGUUAGUUCACUAGGAGCUCAGUUUGUGAAAACUUUCCUAUUUGGCUGCUUAUAAUGCCUCUUUCAGCACAGUCCUAAUUAUUGGGUCAAAUAGCUGCUGUUAUCAUAUAGAUGUCUUCACAAUUUUGAUAGAAACUAUAACAACUUAAAACACAUUUUUCCAAAUAAAUUGAACAGAACUGUGAAGGCAUUUUCUGUGCUGUGAA